ensembl:lncRNA
CGUUGAUUCACUGUCACCACAGAGCAGUUUUUUGGGUAGAACUGGAUGGGUUUAAGGCGUGGGGUAAUAGGUGUGAGAUGAAAUGGGACAGCACAGAACUGAAAAUGAUGCGGAAAAGAAGUUGUGUGCUAUCCUCUGAGAAAUCUGUCCAUUGAAAUAGAACAAGGCUGCAUGGGUCUGAGCCCUAGACUUGAUUGUCCAUGACCACGGAUGUAAGGAGACUAUGAAAAAUGCAAAGCAGCCCCAGUAGGUACCAAAGCCAGUAUGGAAGGGGAUAACUACGAGUGCCAAUGAAGUGGAAAAAAACAAACCUGGGAAAUGAGCAUUUCACUCUGAGGAGAAACACGGCUGUGAAGGGCAGAUCUGCCUCCGGGUUUCGGCAGGCUAUUCUCCAGCCAUCUUCCAUUCAUGCUUCAGACAUCGCUGGGAACAAGAGCUAAAUAGUUCCUGGGCUGUUUCAUAACGGAGAAACGAGCCUCUGUGAGAGUGUUUGCCAGUAUAUUGCUCUUCUUGACUCAGUUCCUCGUGCUCCCUCUGUUUGUUCGCCAUCAUAAUGGCUGUUGCAGUUUCUCCUUGCCGUGGACCUUCUUCUUCCUUUCACUGUGAUGAUGGAGUGGAGCCUUCUCGGUGGUUGUCACAGCAUGACAACCUCUGUGCGCUGAGGUCCUGCAGCACUCCAUGAAGUUCCCCAGCAGCUGGUUGAAAUAGCUCUGCUCGCAAAGCCACUUUCCAGUAAGCAUGCACUGCAUGGCAGGGAUAGAAACACCAUUCAGAGUUCCACUUAAGCCAGAGAUACAGAUGUACCCUUUAGGGUUUUUUUUUUGUUUUGUUUUUUGUUUUGUUUUUUAGUGGCAUUUAUUCACUGCUCUGUUGAGUUUUCCAGGCGAUGGCUGCCAGCCAUACUAAAAUAAUUGUGUGACUUUGCAAAAACAAUUCAUUUUUCACUGCUUCCCCAGCACUGCCAGCUCUCUGUGGCUUUUUAGCAAAUGUCGUGCUCUUUGGUCAUUUGCCUAGACUUACAUGGGCUUAACCACAGAAGCUCAGCCUUCACCAAAGAACACAUCCUUCGCCCAGAAGUUGGAGGAGGUGAUCCCCAAACCCAUGGUGCUCAGCUCCCCUCCCGCAAGGUGUAGCCCACCAGCACACCCCACAUCAGGGUGCAGCCCCUCUAAUGGCGCUGAACAACAGUUUUCACUGUCGUGGUCUGCGGGGCUCCUGGGAACAGAGCACAAUGAGACAUUUACCAGCACAAUGGGACGUUUGCUGGAGGGCUGCCGGUGCGCGUUGGGCACAGCUGGCACGGCACGUGCUGCCCGCUCACCGCGCUCACGCUCACAGCUGCACAUUGGCCCAGCUCUGCCCUGCUGGGGAAGGAGCAAAAAUUAAAAGAAAAAAAAAAAACAAAAAAAGGUUCAGCAAAGGAAAGAUUAAGCCUUCCAGAAGGAAGUAAAUUAUUUGAAUGAAAGCAUUUCAAGGAAGUGAUUUUAUCGCUCUGAAAUUUUAUCCAUCCUUUGAAAAAUAAACAACCCCGGUAACUACUUUUUCAGGCUAGGUUUUGCUGGCAAGUUUUAUCUGCAGAGAGGAUUAGCUUACCCGUGGAUGGGACGUGCUGCACACACCCUGUUCCCAUGCAGAUCCACGCGGAGGGGAGCUGCCUUCCAGCGCAGUGCUAGGACAUUUUUAUGUAGCUACAUCAAAUGACUGCAAAGACCAUUAGGACAGUUUAUCGUUGGAAUCUGCAGGAACAUACUGUACCCAAAAGGAAAACGCUCACUGAUAGGGGAAGUGCAGAAUUUGUGAUCCUUGUAAUUAUGCAGAUGAUCCUCUCCAAAGGGCUGCAGUAUGUGAGUGAGUCUGCAGUGAAGGCUCCUGGCUGCAGUGCUCCCACCAUGCUCUGCCACCCAGCUGCUCCCGCUCCAGGUCUGCUGGCUGCAGCCCAGCCUGGCACAUCACCAUGAAGAGUUUUUUUUCCUCAUUGGAGAUUUGUAAAAUUCCAACAUGCAAAAGACUCUUUGAAACACUGCUUUUUGGGGCAAUUUCUGCUGUUGCUGCAUUGAGCCCUUGUAGAAGUUUGCACCUUGCAGCUCACCGUGGCGGAGACACUGGACACAUAGGAGGUGAUCAACCUUCAUGGAAUCGUAGAAACAUGGAAUUCAUUGAAUCAUUAAGGUUGGAAGAGACCAUUAAGAUCAUCUGGUCCAACUGUCAACCCACCGUGCCCAUUAACUACAUCCCUCGGUGUCACAUCUACAUGGUUCUUGAACACCUCCAGGGACAGUGACUCCACCACCUCCCUGGGCAGCCUGUGCCACUGCAUCACCACUCUUUCUGAGAAGAGAGUGUCCACCUCACCUGGAACAACCUGGGGCCAUUCCCUCUAGUUCUAUCACGGUUACCUGAGAGAAGAGGCCAAUCCUCACCUCACUACAAUCUCCUUUCAGGCAGUUGUGGAGAAUAAGGUUUCCCCUGAGCCUCUUCUUCUUCAGCCUGAACAAUCUCAGUUCCCUCAGCUGCUCCCCAAUAAGACUUGUGCUCCAGACCCUUCACAGCUUUGUUGUCUUUGUCUGGAUACACUCCAGGGUUUUAAUGUCUUUCUCGCUGUGAGGAGCCACACUUUUCAGAGCAAGGUGCCAUUGCCACCACCAACAUAGGCAGGCACUACACAGGUCAGUCACUUCCUCCAAAAGUAUUCCCCCAGUAGCUGGCCCAGGGAAGUAUCCCUUGACAUAAAUACCAAAGGCAAAAAGAAAGUCCUCUUCUCCCACAGCGGUGUUUCAGCUCGGAGUGCUGCCAGAUACGAAGAGCUGCAUGCUUACCAGUAUGAAACGAAACUCACGUGCUAAAAACCUGGAAGGUUUCCAGGCAGGAAAAUCACCCUGGGAUAUUUGCACUGUAAUUUCUUAUAUGAGGUCUGCAGACAUCCAAAAGAAUUAGGAACUCGAUGAUGUUCUCCUCAAGGGUCUGGGAAUAUAUGAGUAGGGUCAGUGGGCACCACAGAGGUGUGCAGCCCUGCAAGCUCUACUGCUGGUGUCCCACAUCACCAUGUGAAUGCCAUGCUCCUCCUAGACAUGCUCUGUACCCAUAUAAACCACGCCUGCUGUGUUCCCAUAAAAACCUGACAGAGAACCUAGAGCAUCCUGAGGCUACAGGGCUGCACAUCUCUCACAACCCCAGGGCAGCUUUUCAGUGCAGAAUACAAUCUCUGCAUAUACCACAUUAUCAGAAAAAGCAGAGUUUGAUAUUAAGCAGGGAAUGUUGGCUCCUAACCUGGUUGCUUAUGGUGGUGUUUAGGACGUGGGCCCAUCACUGCCCUUGUGAGAACUCCUUGUGCUGGGCUGUGCUCUACCACGUUCAGCAAAACUCUUCCCAUUAGCACCGGGGCAGGCAGGACAGAAGGGAGUCGAGAAGCUGCUGUUCCAGUUUUCCUGAUAAGGACCCGGAGGGAGUGGAGAAAAAGCAUUUUGCACAAGGCCAUGAGAGACAACUGUUUCAAAUCUGGGAAACAAGCCUGAAUCUCUUGACUCCCCAGUGCCUUUUCCUCUUUGUCGGUAACCUGACAGAGUUUUCAGGCUCUGGGAGCUGAGGCUUCCUAUCUGCAGGGCAGAGGGCAGCCAGACUGAUGCAGAGUGAGGCUUUGCUGCCCAGCUCCUUGACAGAGCCCACGGGACUUGUGCUGAUAUGAUUUGCACAUGCAGCUGGGCACACCAUGUAAACUGCAGUGGGAUGGCACUUUUGAUAAGGGGACAGCCUGGACCGGCUUUUGGUAAAGUGUCAAAAGCUCUCAGUUCUUCGUACCCCAGGCUCUGCAUUUCCAGUGCAGCAAUGUGCUAUUAAUAGUUACCCAUGCAGCUAUAAGCUAUAGGGGAGGGAAAUGAAGAUUGCACAGGAAGAAUUUAAACAGUGGGGCACGUUCAAGGGACAGAACAACAAGUGCUGGUAGCCUACUACAGGUACCAUUGCAGGAGUCAGAAUACGGAUGUCAGGGACCUUCUGCAGUGCCGACUGCCAAACAUAAAACUAGAUACAUCCUAUUCCCACAGUAUAACAUUGCAACAGACAGCUGCAAGGCAAGAGUGAAGGCUGUUGUGAAAAAGCAUGGUUGGAAGACUUGUUGCUGAAGGGAUAGGUGGAUGUUCAGAGCAGAAACCAGAAUUUAUUGGUAGAAUGCAGCCCCUGAGCAUGGUUUAUGUGCCAACAGGCUAUUUAUACGAGAAAAGACUUAGCUGAGCUAGUUCUUGUGCUGGAAGCCUGCAAGAUAAAGAGCCACUCAUCCAGGAGUGCCCCAGAGAGACGUGACCCUGAGAAAUGCAUUUAAUGGGGGUGACACACUAUUUAGUUGCUGUGAUAGGACAAGGGGAAAUGGCUUCAAACUAAAAGACGAGAGAUUUAGACUGGGUAUAAUAAAGAAGUUUUUUACAGUAAGGGUGGUGAAGCACUGGAACAGGUUGCCCAGAGAGUGGUGAAUGCCUUUUUCCAGGAGACAUUCAAGGCCAGGCUGGACGGGGUUCUGAGCACCUGAUCUAGCUGUUGGUGUCCCCGUUCAUUGCAAGGGAGCUGGACUAGGUGAACUCUAUGGGUCCUUCUAAUGAAGAGUUCUAUUAUACUAUUAUUCUAUUUUACUACUAUUCUAUUAUUCUCUGACACAUUUUCUUGUAUCGUGGGGAGCAUUCUUGCUAAGGUGUUCAAUUUCACAGCACCAGUGAACCUCCCAUUGCUCAACCUUGGGACUGUAGGAUGGGGGCUCAGAGGCCCCAUGGUCAGGACUUACAAGGAUGGGCACUGUCAUGCUGGAUCAGCAGCCCUUCACUAACAUGGGGCUCUGCUCUUUUUGUUCUGCAGAUUGCCAUGCCCAAAGCAUAGAAACAUAUAUAUUUGUGUAUGUAUGUAUAUAUGCCUGAGCCUAUAAGAAGUCAAACAAAGCAUUACAAAUGUACAGUGAAGAAAUAACAGUCUGCCUUCUCUGAUUAUACGGCCUGAUUUACUGGGCUAAACAAUAGGUUUAUUGCUCUGUGCUACGUAAUUGUUAUUAGAGGAUGCAUCUGGUCUCUGAGUAGAAAUGAACUUUUGUGAAGGCAAAGUAUUCCAAGGAAGAAAACAAUUAUCAAACCAGAUCUAUAUAAGUCCAAAAAAAAAAAAAAAAAAAAAAAAAAAAGAAAGAAAGAAAAAGCUGGAAGAAGUCAAAUAAAUUUUAAAUGAUGCAUACUUGUAGAGGCUGUAGGAGAAUGUGUGGCUCUUCAAUAUCAUAGUAGCCAAACCAUGACUGCCCACUGGAGACUUCUCCAUUUCUUUCUCAGAUACAGAGUCACAGUCACUUUUGAGAUUGCUAGAGAUUGUCAAAGCUUGCAAAAAUAACAAAUUCUGCUAAGUACCUGGAUAAAUGUCCAGGGCAGAAAGUGGGUCUGCAGCCUGCCUGAGCUAGAAGGUGUCUGUGGGUGGGAAGAGGAGCUUGUUGCUCCUGGGCGGCAGGCCGCAUUAGGCCAUGCUGCCUGGUGUAGAACUGGGGACUCAGCAAUGUUGUUGCAUGGCUGUCAGCACGUAUUGCUGUGACAGGUUUGUGACAAACCGGAGGAAAAAAAAACCAAAAAACCAAGCAAGCCCACAGCAGACUUAAGGAGAUUAAAAGGACUGAGUGGUUAGACCCCACUUGGGUCUUUCUCAGUUUUUUAAUGAGGCAUAAAAGGGGCCUUUGAAGGUAGGCUUUGAUUUCUCUUUUUCCUGCUUGUUUUGCUGCAUUAGAAAUUUAGAUUGCCCUUGCUUUCCCAGGAAGGCUCAAGUGUGAACAACUUCCAGCAGCACAGGAGCCCUGCAGCCACCAGCAGCCUCUUUCUCCGGGCUGCCAAUGGCCAUGGCACCCAACGUGCUGCCUUCCUCACAGCGCUCCCAAGGGCAGCACUUUCAGUAGCAAUGAGCUAUUUUUGUCACUCACCCCACGACAUCCUCUAAGGAGGUCAGGUUUUUGGAACUGAUGAGCAUGAAAGAAGUCAAGUCUUCCCAAGGUUCUUCAACAUGGCAGCCAGAAAUGAAGGCUUUCCACACAAACGGCCUAUAUAACCUGUAGGAUGACGUAUAUGAAAGCUGUGGUUAGAGGAAGAGUUUGAACAGCAGACUCUAGGAGAAUAAUUUUGCACCAUUUUUGAACAUACACUCAUGUCUGGAUACCUCAUACUGCAGAGGAGCUCAUCAAUGAGGAAGAUGAAAAUUGAUUGCUUCUUCCAUGGACUGGGGAUUUCAAGCUGUCACACUCAUGUCUGUGUCCUACCAAACCGUUCUGUCGUGUCCAGGCAUGCGAGAAAAUGUGAGUCAUGUCCCUUUGAAACCAGGAACUGAGCUUGGAAAAGUACCCUUUUUCUGAAAAAAGAAAGUGCUGACAUCCUUAUUUUUCUCUCUAUAACUGUUAGAGUUACGGCUUUGGAAGAAAAUGAUGCAUUUUUAAGAAAAAUCAAAUGUAAGAUUUUUACGUCUUCCUGUGAUUCUAGAUGAUGUCUUGUGAGAUCCGUCAUGCUGCAAUGCCUGCACUUAAUUCAUGAGGCUUAGAGACUGGGAACUGGAUACACAAUUGUCUUAUAAAAAUGCAAACAAAUCAAAAAGGUCUUCAGUUUUUCUUCACAGCAACAAAGAGCUUAAUAAAGAAAAGAUGUUAAUACUGAAACUUCUGUGUUUCUGCCUCGCUCUGUUUCUUAUACCAGCCUCCAUAAGUUUCUAGUUUCCUCUACUGAAGCAAAAACGCACAGAGGGCAUUUCUUUUUAACUUCUUCCUUAAGUUCCGUGUCUUUUUCCCUUUUCUAUGAGAAGAAAGUUCAGAAAGGAAAGGGGGAGAAGGAGCGCUCUCUGGGACCAGGGGAUGACUCCAAGUCAAAGGCAGCUGGUGCCGUUGCUCAAGGAGGCCGUAGCACUCCCACCAGCCACCCCUCAAGCCACAUGGCAGCCACAGGUGUCAGUGAUGGGCACUUCGUUUUUCCCAUCCUCCCGAAGUUGCUGGAAAAUGGUGCUUUAUGGACCAGCAGUUGAUACGCUGGGAUGUUACAGACCUGUGCCAUGUUACAGUUCAGGAAAACUGUUGCAUUCCUUCUCGUCAUCCGUUUCCAGCAGAUGGUUGACAUUAAGGAAAAGCACAGCAGUUCCCAGUGUUAGGACUUGUCGCUCAUUACCUUUGGAAUUACAAAUGUGUAUUUUCAGCUAUGGCAAAUAUUCAGAUGGAGAAAUACUGAAAGGAACACUAAGCAUCAAACCUUUUGGAAACUAUCAGUGCUGCUUAAUACCCGGUGCUGCGUUGACCAUGGUGAAACUGCCACCCAAGCAGAUCAGAAUAUUUAGAGACCAUGGAAUGGAAGCAUAAGGAAGGAGACUGCUUAACACGGAGCAUGAGAAAAGCCUUCGGGAGCCCUGAGGGAAGCUCAGAGCAUGACUCCACUGCAUCUUGAUUCUUGCUCUGUCAGCAGCUCAGGGACCCAUAUGCAUUUCCACGCCUCUGUCCCACCACCAUCUGACCCCUCGGUGGGAUGAGCCACCAAGGCAGACAGGCUGAAAACCACUCCCCAUUCCUUGCAGAGAUGUUUCUUGCAGGUGGAGUUCCUUGAAGGUGCACACCAUGGGGCUGGGCAUGCAUCAGCACUUGCCCAUAGAAGGGCUGGGAGCAUGGGGGUGGGAGCUUGGGGAUGCAGGGGGUGGCAGAACAGCAGCAUCCCCAUCUAAUACAGAUGGAUGUUUUACCCAUAGCGAGCAAAAACACAGAGCUGGAGCUGUAUCCCCACCUAAUGUAAUGAGUUGCCCUGCGUGCUGCACUAAAUCCGUUAGGCAAUGAUUAAUAUACAUAUUGGAAGAUCAAAUAUACUUCCUAAUGGAACUUCUCACUGGCAACCUUUUCCUCUUGUGCCUUUGAACUCUGCAGCUGAACUACUGCUUUUGGGUGGAACAGCUUCCUAAGUCAAAAUGCAUAAAGUAUUUUCAUAAUUAAAAGGUUAAAGAAAAUUCACAGCAUCCAGAAAACAUAUUGGGUGAAUAAAACCAGUGAAACCAGCUUCCACAAAGCUCCCUCUGAUUGAGGUCUUGAUCCAGGAAUCUGUUUUAAAGCAGAUGAUCUUUUUCCCUGGGAACUUUAUAACAGACAGUGGGGAUACCCACAGAAUAAGAUUAACCCUUUUUCUUAAUGCUACAAAAGUCUUUUGACAUCUAUUCCCCGGCUGUCCGAAGGCUUCAGAACAGAAUCAUAAAAUCAUAGAAUCAUUAAGGUUGGAAAAGCCUUCUGAGACCAUUUAGUCCAACCAUCAACCCGUCACCACCAUGCCCAGUAUCGCUUCCCUCAAAGAGUUGAGUUCCAGCAGCAGGUGCUCAAUCCACCUGCCAAACAUUGCAGCCCACCCCAUCCCUACGGUGAAUUAAAUGCUGUUGCAGUCUUUUGGAAAGAAGCAACAGCUUCAUGAUGUGGCGUUACAGGAAUAUUUCUCCAUUCAAAGAUCUGACGGUAGGUUGGGGCCUCCAUGUGAAGAAGUCCUUCACAGUGGUUAUCACUAGCUUCAGAUAGGACCAGAAGCUGGUGGUGGGUCUCUGAAGGGACUAUGGUGGUAGCCUGGGGCUUCUUUCCAGUCGAGGGCACUGACUGAUGAAGAUGAAGGGCAGUGAGGACAACCACAGAGUGGUCCUGGUGAUGAUGAGUGGUUGUGAAGGUCCUCUGCCCACACCACAGUGUAAAGCAGGAGGAAAAGGGGGAAAAUUACAGCAGGGCAGCUGUAAUUAAGGACAGCCUUACUGAGCAUCUGGUGACACUGGGAACAUCCAAGCUGGGUACACCCAAUUCAGCCGGUCCAUCUCUGCAUGCUCAGGAGGAUGUGUUGCCACAUCCACCUCUUGGGAUUUUAAUAUGAAAUACAAGAAAAUCACCAAAUGGAACAACUCCUUCGGCAGCUCCCUUACCCACCUGGCCCUUGGCCUUUCUACCAGAGCAGGUCCAGCUGGAGGGCCGGUCCCACUGCUUCUCCUAGGGUGUUUUGAGGACCACUGGCAACACACAGCUGGGUCUGCUGAUGGAUGAGAGCCGAUGUGCCCGGGCGCCUCUGUCCUUAAAAAGAGUGCACCAAGGGGAUGAAUCCUAUGGGUUUUUGCUGUGCUUCCUCAAACUCUUAUGCCAAUGAAUACGGCAACAGCUUUACUGCAGAAAGCUGGAACCCAGGACAAUGAAACAGGAUUUUUUUUUUUUUUUUUGGAGAUAGUCAGGCUCUUAGUUUUUUUUUUUUUUAUUGCCAAUAAAUAAGAGAAUUUGGGGGUUUUAAAAGUAGGAAGAUGAGGGGAUGAGUCAGACAGGGUUGCUGACCGCAGCUUUGCCUGCAAACUGGGAAAUGCAAAAGAAAAUAAUUUCUGCGCUAUAGAAAUGUCUAAUUAUCAUCUGCCAUCUCAAAUGCCUCCAACGAGAAACUCCUGCAGAGACCUUUGAAGCUAUUUUAAUGCGGAAAGCAGGAAAAUACUCUGUCAAACCGAACCAAGAUGCAGAAUGUGAUCACAUAAAUCCAGUGUCUUGGAGCACAGCCCAGGCGUUUCUGACUUUGUUGUUUUUCGCUGCAGUUUAGCAAUUCAGCAGAAUCACGUUUGCAGCCCUGGAUCUACUGGUUUUGGUAGCGAUGUUACUUGAACUAAUCGCUUAUGUAAAUAAACAUUUAAACCUACAGGAAGGCUAAGGCAACUGUGAAAAAUAAUCACAAUUAACUUCCAGUGGUAUAUUAGGGGGUUGCAAAUUAUCGUUAUUUUUCCAGUUUGCCAAGGCUUUAUUUUUAGAGGGGAUAAAAAGCUGCUAAGCUUUCAGUUCCUGACUUUUCUCUUUGGAGCGAGAACAGAGUGAUAGCAAUUAAUAGGAAGGUCUCAGGCACUGCCAAUGGGCUGAGACUUGUCUGGGCAUUUUCAGAUUUCAACCCCCUCAGAGAAAGAGGAAUUUGUGCAAUGCUAUGCGAAGAUAAUUAUUGGUAACAAAAAGAGAACAGCAUCGUUAUGGUUUCAGAAAAAUAAAUGAGCCCAAAUCUGAGCUCUGUGAUCACUUUGAGAGACCGACCCUUGGUCGCACGCUACCUUAGUUGAUUUAUUGCACGUUGUUUUAGGAAGUGGCUGGGCAUACUGUACCUGAAGCGAACACUGCCUAUUGGUGACAUGCUCACCCAAGGCAUCCUGCACCCCCUGCAGAGUGAGGAGAUGCUGAUGGUGUGGGUGUGCGUGGGCAUCCCAGGUCUGGGAGGGGAGUGCUCCACACCUCCACCCCCACCUCACCCAAGGAAGAUGAGGAUGAACUCAUCCAGUGCCAUGAGCCCACCACAACCCGGUGCCGGCCCCAAAUUAAGCAGAAUAUGGCCCAGAUGCUGGGUGGCCCUGAACUGAUUUCAGACCUUCAGGAAACUGUUGCCCAUGUUCCCAGGUUGCCCAGAGAUGUGGUGGAUGCCCCGUCCCUGGAGACACCCAAGGUCAGGCUGGAUGGGCUCUGAGUGCCUGAUCGAGCUGUAAGUGUCCCUCUUCACUGCAGGGGAGUUGGACUGGAUGACCUUAAAAGAUUCCUUCCAUCUCAAAUGAUUCUAUGAUUCUUAGGAAGGAGCGGAUAACGAUUCCCACAGGACCACCACCAUCACCUUUCCCACUGGCAGCAGCACUGCAAGAGCUGCAAAAGAGCUGCAGGUGCGGGAGCCUCAAAAAUGAAUUGCACUGAACGUUGUCUUCAGUGGAGCUUUGUCCCUUGAAAUAUCUUUUAAAUUCAGCAUCGCUGGCGAAAGGAAGGGAGCAAAGAAGGGUUUAGAAAUGUUUAUUAAAUAAAGCAGAGUUUCAAAUCUGUAUUAUUGUUGCAGGACACAAUGGUCGUUACUGUUUUCGCUGGUAAGUGCCAGCGUGAUUUAAAGCUGCUGACAGCACCAGACUCUCACAAUGAAAUCAUCUCUCCCUCUCCUCCGCACGGCUCGGGCAGACACUCAUUUGUAUGUAUGGGUUCAGCCUGUCUGCUGCGUCUGGCCGGAGCGGCAGAUACUAAUGGCAUAUGUUAAUUACAGCCCAACAACUUCCUUUCACUUGGGUGUUUAUUGACAGCCUCACUUCUGCCCAUCAAGGCAGCUGGCGCGGGUUGCUGGGCUGCGUGGGGCCACAGCAUCACCUCCGUUUGGGCUCUGGUAUUUCACUGCUCCGUCAGCUGGUUGGCAAAGCUGGCAUUCCAGGGAAAGGUUUUGGGUUCUCCCCACUCUCCUUUCCUAACUUUGCAGAAGGGUUGUAGAGGAUAUGGGACUUGGAGAGGGAAUUCCUCGUGGUGGUGGCUGGACUCCUGACCUCUCCAGGUGCAACUCAGAUCCAACUAGCUGGAAAAUAGCUCAAUAAUUCAGAAUUUAGAGGGAUUGUAAACUAUCUGGUAUAGCUGGUGAAUGCAGACAAACAGGUUUUGACAUGAGUAAAAGCAAUCAUCAUUAGGACUUGAGGGAAUGGCUUCAAACUGUGCCAGGGAAGGUUCAGGCUGGACAUUAGGAAAUACUACUUCUCUGAAAGGGUGGUCAGGCACUGGAAUGGGCUGCCCAGGGAGGUGGUGGAGUCACCGACCCUGGAGGUGUUCAAGGAACAUUUGGACAUUGUGUUGAGGGACAUGGUUUAGUGAGAACCAUUGGUGAUGGGUGGAUGGUUGGACUGGGUGAUCCUGUGGGUCUUUUCCAACCUUGGUGAUUCUAUGAUUCUAUGAAUUACAGAAUCACUAAGAUUGGAAAAGGUCAUCUAGCCCAACCAUCAGCCCAUCGUCACCAUGCCCACUAACCAUGUCCCUCAGCACCGCAUCUACACACGUUUGGGAUCUUCACAUAGUGGUGUGCUGCUCCAGUGACUAUGAGUUGUUAAGCCCCUACAUAAUUCCCUACAGCCUUCACUCAUCUGGAAGCAAAGUGUAAUUAGCAGGUUUUGCCAACUCACUAUUUAACCCGCUUAUGGACUUCUUGUUUGCACAUGUGCUGUUCGUUCACAAAUAUCCAAGCCAAAAUGGUACAUCUGCUUUUAUUUGCUGAGAUGUGCAAAGAGUUAUGAUAGAUGAGUGAAGUGCAGCUGUCCUUUCCACACUGAUACUGGCCCUUCUUCCUUCCGUACGUGGUUUUCUUUCUUGAGGUUAAUUAUUUUAGCUACUGGUGCAAGCAACUCUGUUGCACAUUUAUUAAAUAAAGUCUAAAAGAUGCUUGAUACUGUGUAGAUCACCACAUAGAUGGCCUACUGAAAAAGAGAUUUCAUCAUAGAAUCAUAGAGUCACAAAGGUUGGAAAAGACCCACAGGAUCAUCCAGUCCAACCAUUCACCCAUCACCAAUGGUUCCCACUAAACCAUGUCCCUCAACACGACGUCCAGUUUAUGAGUGAUCAAUUCUCAAAUUCCAGCAACCCACUUGAGUGUGUUCCUGCUUGAAGGAACCUGGAGGCUGUUACCAUUCAGACCAGCGCUGCCCAGUGGGCAGGGGAUGCUUCCAUGUGUCUUGUAGAUCAUUCUACCAGAGGAGCUGCAGAACAGCUCAUUGCUUUCUCCUGUGAGACAUGGGAUGAGGACAUGCCUCUGCCCACAGGGGGCCAUUAGUAUGCUGUUUCUUCUUUGUAUGGGCUCAGGGCAGAGCUGAAUGGAGUUGUCCAUGAUCUCCGGCUAUGAUCUCCAAUAGUGUUACCCAUGGUCUUUCCAGCAGGACUGGAAAGGUCCUAUCUGGGAUGAGUAACCCAGAAUAGCAGAAUAAACAAAUUGUUUGUUUUUCUUCCCCCCCUCCAGUAUUUGCAUCCAGCAAAAUCCCCACACAAUCACAUGCCACAUAACACCAAACACAGUCCAGAAAGCGUGUCAGAUGAGCAAGGGCGCUUGGUCUAGCAGCCUCUAUUGAAAAUGGCUUUGUUUCUUGUUUAAAGGCAAGACAUUUGAUUAUCUGAUCAUACAUUGUUCUCAGUCCCCAUGAUACUGGACUGAUGGAAUAUUUUAGCUAUUUAUUGAGAUGCAGGAAAGCCAAACUCUUUGAAUACUAUAACAACAAAACGUUUGCAGCAUUGUACUAUUCCUCUGUCACUCUCUUAUAAAAACAAAGAGACUGUGUACAAGGCAGAGAAAGAACAGUCUCUUUCAGGAUGAAAAGAAUACAAUAAAUACCGUAUCUAUAACCAGGAGGUGGUCAGAGGGUGAGGUUUGCACUCGGGGAUGUGGUUAGUGGGUAUGGUGGUGAUGGGCUGAUUGUUGGACUAGAUUAUCUCAGUGGUCUUUUCCAACCUUAAUGAUUCUAUGAUACUAUGGUUCUCAGAGCUUUCAGAAAAGGCUAAAUGCUGUCACUACCCCAGCACAAGGCAGUCACAUCAGCUGCACAAACCCACGGGCAAUUGUGUGUUUGCUGUUCAAUUUGUUCAGUGCUCUGUGGCCUUCGCUCUUCUGUUCUUCUGUUAAAAUAAAUCAUAAUAUUUAAGCAGAAACAUCUUCAGAUGCCUUCUGCUGUGUUCUGACAGAAUGUGCCGUGUUCUAGAGCGUUUCUAACCAUCCUGCAGGAGAGUCUCCUGCUGGGCAGUCCCAGCUGUCACUCGUGCUGCUUUGUGACUGUGUACAUAGUCCCUGUGCAUACAACCAUCAACCACUGAGUAGCUUCUCCCUCUCCCCGAAACUGUAUUCUUUGUGUGCAUCCAAUGAGAAAUCACAAUGCAUGUUUUUUUUCGAGAGAAACUGAUAAAGAUAGUAAGCAGAAGGAAGCAACAGAAGAGGAAUCUCAGGUUGGAUAUUAGUAAAAAUUUAUUCUUAGAGAGAGUGGUGCUGCACUGGCACAGGGUGCACGGGGAGGUGGUGGAGUCACCAUCACUGGAGGUGUUUGAGAACUGUGUAGGAGAGGCACUGAGGGACGUGGUUAGUGGGCAUGGUGGGGAUGGGCUGAUGGCUGGGCUAGAUGAUCUUAGUGGUCUUUUCCAACCUUAAUGAUUCUUUGAUUCUAUGAAUUGGUAAGGGUUUGUUACUAACCAUGGCAGAGGAUUCCAGCAAAGCCUGGUGGCACUUUGUGGUCAUUUUGUCAUCUCUAUUGGCUGAGGUCCUUGCAGGGCUCAGAUGGAGCCAGGUGCUCUGAUCACCAGAAGGUGCUGCUUCUUCAGCAGCCCUCUGAGCAGCUGCCUCUGCCUCCAGGAGUGCUUCCAUCACAACUCCAUGCUCCCUGGGAAUGCCCUUGGAGGCUGAACUUCGGAUGUUGUUUUCCAGCCUGAAAGCUUCAGAGUCUUGUUACCCACAACCCCCAUUUCUUUCCUCCUUCCUGCACUGUGUAUCAAACAAGCAAUUGCUGGAGCCAGUGUGGGACCGAGUUGCCAGCAAAAACAUCCCCCUCAAGUCCUAAAGGAAUUUGGGAUAUUUUUUUUCUCUGAACUGCUAAGACCCUCCAAAGCACAGUGGUUGUAGCAAUCUUUAAAAUAAAAGCUGAGGGCCGGGAAGUCUUGAAUUAGGAACAGGAAGCUCUGGAUGAACUGAUAACCGAAAUGCUGCUUUAGUGCAACUCGGUGAAUACAGCAGGACAGCAGCAUGGCCUCUGCAGGGACAGAUGCUGCCUCUCCCAUCACCCUGUACACCACCCAGAGUAAGCAGCAGAAGCAAUUCAAAAUGUGUCUACAUUUUCAGCAGCAUUUAAAAAGUGUCCCUCAGAAAACUGAGUAGGCAUGUGGGUAAAAUUCUGCCCUAGAUGAAAACUGCUUAUGAAUGUGAAACUCAAGAGUGCACUUUGAAUGACGCAAAGAGAGAAUGGCUGCAGAUGUACCGGGGGGCAGAGUGGAGGAAGAUUCUGGUCGGCCCAACAGGCAGCACAAGGCAGAGUUCUAUUGUAAUUUUCAUAGCCACUGCACUGUAGAAGACUUUUAAAGGACAGUUUGAAGAAAUGGAUGGCUCUUUGGUUAUUUCCACAAAUGAAGGCAGGCUUGGGAAAUGCUGCCUGGUGCAGUAAAGAAGAGGACAAACCAGGUGAUUUGCCCAUGUUAAUUGAAACUCGAAAAACCUGUGAGAUAUGUCAGAGAUGAGGCCAAAAAGGUUGGCAAGGUUAUAGGAAGAGCAAUAAAAGGGUGUGAGGCACAGACAGACUGAAAGGCAAAAAGACUCCUGUGGGAGUGACGGUAGGUAUGAAGGAACCUGACAGAAUGACUCGAGAUAGUACAAAACAUGUCAGCUGGAGUAAUACAGAGAAUUUCAGCUGAACUCGCUGUUUGCUUUUGUUUAACACCAGAGCAGAGUGACAUCAGAUGAAAAUGAAAGACAGCAGGUAUCAACAUUCAGAAGUGAAAUGCUCCUUCUGGAGAACAACACAUACUUUGAUUGCCAUGAGUGAGCAGAUGUUUUUAUCAUUCCGCCUGCGUUCAGGGCCAGUCCAUGGAUGUGGGACUCGUUUCCCAUGGCACCCACAGCAAACGCUCCAUUCGUGGGAAAGCUUUCCAUGAGGUGGUGUUGGAACUGACAGUUCAGCCUGGUCCCACAACCAGCAGGUGUUUGUAUGACUAACAGGCCCAGCAGGAACAUCAAGAGAAAGAAAUGGUCUAUGAGCCAUCCCAGUAUGAGGUGUGAUCCGAUCGCUAACUGCCAAAGAUUAGGAAAAAAAAGAUCCCAUCAGUACUGCACUCCAGGUCUAUCUGAUCCUUGCACUUCUGGAGUUAGACUUUUUUGGACACAAGUUACUGAUUUAACUAGUGCAUCCACUUGACUUGGCUCCUGCGUCCUUAGCCAGUGUCUGCAGGCAGGUGGAGAUGGAGCACACAUACUACACAUAGUAUGGGAAAACAAAGAGGUUUUAAAAGCUUCUCCUUGCCCUGCAGGCAAAAGUGCCCAAAUCCAGGGGCUGCUGCUGGGUGAAAUGAAAGAAAGACCCAGUGGCCAGGGCUGGUGUUUGCAAGCAAUGCAUUACUCCAUUAGAGACGCACACCUACUUAAACAGCAGGACAUGCAGGGAAGCUGAUGAUUGCACUACUGUGCACAAGCAUGAAUCAAUGAAAUCUUGCACAGAGAGCCUGGGGUGAGUGACUCCCACAGCCUAAACCUGUAGCUUUCAGCAUCUGAGCUGCAAAGGGAAGACUGGGCUCUUGGAGAGAGCGAUAGCAGGAGACCAUGGGUUACCAUUACUUAGAAGGGGUGUGGGACAGGCAGAAGCUGCUUCAGAGCUUCUGUAAUCAGGUCUCAGCACUCUGAUGCUUCCCAAGAGCUGCAGUGGCAGGAAGUCCCCACAGAGCAGCAGGAGACACGUUUGCAGAGCAACCUUGCUCUUCUGCAAGAGGAACUUGGUUACGAAGCAGCAGGAAAGCUGCCAAGCAGUUUUAUCCCAAAGGAAGAGAAACUGAAACCAGUACAGGCUAGGAACUCAUUGCAGUGACAGUGUUUACCUACCUCGUUCCACUUUUCUUCCUUUAGUAAGCAUAUUUUGUGUUGCCCAUCUGAUUCCUGUUGGAGAAAGUGCAGGGAUGUCCGACCAUCAGGCAGCUGAGCCUACUUCCCAGGUGUGAGCUCAGAGUGCCCUCAUGCUCGGACCCAGCCUUCACUGCGGCCCAUGCAGCCCUGGCAGAAGGGUUAUGCACACAUGACUCUUAUUCACGUCUCUGGAAAUGUUGGACAGGAGUCCAAAGGCAGGCUUCGUCUCCAGGAGCAGACACAAUAUCUCAUUAUGGUCUGGAAGGAUCAUUCCCUGAGAUUCAGUGCCGGGAUGACAUAUCCAUAAACUCCUUGGGGAUCUGUUUCUUUGUAAACACUCAGACGUGACUCAGAUUAUACUAAUGUAGUUACGUGUGAAAAUUCUGGGGGAAAAUACAACCCCAAACCACCUUCUUAAGAAAAUCAGCUGCGAAGCCAAAUGUUACUGCACAGUCUUUCUUUUUUUUUUUGCCUGGCUAUCAGCAAUUUGCAAGUUCCCUCUUGUUGGCCCCUGGGAAACAGCAUAUCCCAAGACUACCAGCACCAUGCAGUUCAAAGCGACGCCGGCACUCUCCAGUGUGAUUGAAAGAAGAAGCAUGGGGAAAUGGUUGGUAUUGUCCAUAGGCCUCGAUGGUGUCCCAGGUCCCUCCUGCAUGGCACGCUGUCAGCUGGGCUGCCUGCAGGUCCUUUCGGAGGCUGCCACAUCCCAUCCUGCUCCCCAGCAAGCCCUUCCGAGGGCUGGAUGGUGCAAGCCCUCUGCUAAUGGGCUGUGUGCUGGUGCUAAUGAGCUUCAGAGCACUGACCACUGGGAGAUCAGGCCGCUGUUAUUUUUCUAAUUAAUUCAAGAACUAAUCACACAGCAGCAUGCUCUGGGGGGCAGCCCAUCUAGCGAGAGAGGUAAGAAGUCCGCACGAAUCUGUUCCCCCUGCAUUUUACACAGAGUGCUUUACCUGCCUUUUGGAACUUGUUUAAAAACAACAGCAACAAAAACCCACCUAAAAUCCUGCUCUGUGAGCUGCUUGUGCUCUCCCCCAUGGCAGCCCGUCCUGUACAUUCACUCCUUCUGCUAUUUAAAAUCUGGCAUUCCUUCUGGGCCCACCCAUCCUGCAUGCGCUGGGCCUGCAUUCUUGACCCCCACUGGGAGAUGACAUGAGCUCUCCGCUUCACUGCUGCUCCCUUCUUACUCAAAGCUUAUCUGAAACCGGCCUUGCUCUUAUCUCUGAUUUGCCCUUUUUCCCUCUAAUUAGAGCCCCGAAGCACACGGAAAUGGGAUUUGCGUGGAAGGCGACGUUCAGGUGAAACUGGACCCCAACUCGUGCAGUUGAGAUGCGGCAUCUGAGGGCGAUGAAGGUUAUUUCGAGCCCUCCCUUCUCGCCUUUAUUUUCUAAACCACUCAAGGCCCCUUUUUCUUCUCUGAAGGAUCGGAGCUAGUUUCUCUAGUUUUACUGGAAAAGUAACAACCUUGUGUCUUUGUACGGUAUUAAAUAAACCCUGGAAGAGUUUCCA